rnacentral:rRNA from 1 species
UAGGGAAUCUUCGGCAAUGGGGGGAACCCUGACCGAGCAACGCCGCGUGAGUGAAGAAGGUUUUCGGAUCGUAAAGCUCUGUUGUUAAGGAAGAACGAGUGUGAGAAUGGAAAGUUCAUACUGUGACGGUACUUAACCAGAAAGGGACGGCUAACUACGUGCCAGCAGCCGCGGUAAUACGUAGGUCCCGAGCGUUGUCCGGAUUUAUUGGGCGUAAAGCGAGCGCAGGCGGUUAGAUAAGUCUGAAGUUAAAGGCAGUGGCUCAACCAUUGUAGGCUUUGGUAACUGUUUAACUUGAGUGCAGAAGGGGAGAGUGGAAUUCCAUGUGUAGCGGUGAAAUGCGUAGAUAUAUGGAGGAACACCGGUGGCGAAGGCGGCUCUCUGGUCUGUAACUGACGCUGAGGCUCGAAAGCGUGGGGAGCGAACAGG